rnacentral:rRNA from 1 species
GAUGAACGCUGGCGGCGUGCUUAACACAUGCAAGUCGAACGGAAAGGCCCAAGCUUGCUUGGGUACUCGAGUGGCGAACGGGUGAGUAACACGUGGGUGAUCUGCCCUGCACUUCGGGAUAAGCCUGGGAAACUGGGUCUAAUACCGGAUAGGACCACUUCUUGGAUGUUGUGGUGGAAAGUUUUUUCGGUGUGGGAUGAGCUCGCGGCCUAUCAGCUUGUUGGUGGGGUAAUGGCCUACCAAGGCGUCGACGGGUAGCCGGCCUGAGAGGGUGUACGGCCACAUUGGGACUGAGAUACGGCCCAGACUCCUACGGGAGACAGCAGUGGGGAAUAUUGCACAAUGGGCGCAAGCCGGAUGCAGCGACGCCGCGUGGGGGAUGACGGCCUUCGGGUUGUAAACUCCUUUCGCUAGGGACGAAGCGUUUUGUGACGGUACCUGGAGAAGAAGCACCGGCUAACUACGUG